rnacentral:rRNA from 1 species
GAUGAACGCUGGCGGCGUGCCUAAUACAUGCAAGUCGAGCGAACAGACGAGGAGCUUGCUCCUCUGACGUUAGCGGCGGAUGGGUGAGUAACACGUGGAUAACCUACCUAUAAGACUGGGAUAACUUCGGGAAACCGGAGCUAAUACCGGAUAAUAUAUUGAACCGCAUGGUUCAAUAGUGAAAGACGGUUUUGCUGUCACUUAUAGAUGGAUCCGCGCCGCAUUAGCUAGUUGGUAAGGUAACGGCUUACCAAGGCAACGAUGCGUAGCCGACCUGAGAGGGUGAUCGGCCACACUGGAACUGAGACACGGUCCAGACUCCUACGGGAGGCAGCAGUAGGGAAUCUUCCGCAAUGGGCGAAAGCCUGACGGAGCAACGCCGCGUGAGUGAUGAAGGUCUUCGGAUUGUAAAACUCUGUUAUUAGGGAAGAACAAAUGUGUAAGUAACUAUGCACGUCUUGACGGUACCUAAUCAGAAAGCCACGGCUAACUACGUG